rnacentral:rRNA from 1 species
CACGUAGGGGGCGAGCGUUGUUCGGAAUCAUUGGGCGUAAAGGGCGUGCAGGCGGCACUGCAAGUCCGGCGUGAAAGACCCCGGCCCAACCGGGGGGGUGCGCUGGAAACUGCGGUGCUUGAGUACAGGAGGGGAUGCCGGAAUUCCAGGUGUAGGGGUGAAAUCUGUAGAUAUCUGGAAGAACACCGAUGGCGAAGGCAGGCAUCUGGCCAUGUACUGACGCUGAGACGCGAAGGUGCGGGGAGCAAACAGGUUUAGAUACCCUGGUAGUCCGCACAGUAAACGAUGUGCACCAGGUGGCGGGGGUAGAACCCUCGGUACCGUAGCAAACGCAUUAAGUGCACCGCCUGGGGAGUAUGCUCGCAAGGGUGAA